GACGAACGCUGGCGGCGUGCUUAACACAUGCAAGUCGAACGAAGUGGCGAACGGGUGAGUAACGCGUAAUCAACCUGCCCUUCAGAGGGGGACAACAGGUGGAAACGACUGCUAAUACCGCAUACGGAAGGAGGGGAUUGCGUCGGAUUGGCUAGUUGGAUGGGUAACGGCCCACCAAGGCCAUGAUCAGUAGCCGGUCUGAGGGGAUGAACGGCCACAAUGGGGCUGAGACCCGGCCCAGACUCCUACGGGAGGCAGCAGUGGGGAAUCUUCCGCAAUGGACGAAAGGCUGACGAGGCAACGCCGCGUGAGUGAUGACGGCCUUCGGGUUGUAAAGCUCUGUUAAUCGGGACGCGGUACCGGAAUAGAAAGCCACGGCUAACUACGUGCCAGCAGCCGCGGUAAUAC
rnacentral:rRNA from 1 species